UGGGGAAUAUUGGACAAUGGGCGAAAGCCUGACCGAGCAACGCCGUGUGCGGGAUGAAGGCCCUUGGGUUGUAAACCGCUGUCAGGGGGGAUGAAAGCGCAAGCUUGACAGAGCCCCAGAGGAAGCACGGGCUAAGUUCGUGCCAGCAGCCGCGGUAAUACGAACUGUGCGAACGUUAUUCGGAAUCACUGGGCUUACAGGGUGCGUAGGCGGCGGUGCAAGUCAGGUGUGAAAUCCCACAGCUCAACUGUGGAACUGCGCUUGAAACUGCAUUGCUUGAGAGAGCUAGAGGUAUGCGGAACUUCCGGUGGAGCGGUGAAAUGUGUUGAUAUCGGAAGGAACACCAGAGGCGAAGGCGGCAUACUGGGGCUUAUCUGACGCUGAGGCACGAAAGCCAGGGGAGCAGACGG
rnacentral:rRNA from 1 species